rnacentral:rRNA from 1 species
UACAGAGGGUGCAAGCGUUAAUCGGAAUUACUGGGCGUAAAGCGUGCGUAGACGGUUAUGUAAGUCAGAUGUGAAAGCCCCGGGCUCAACCUGGGAAUUGCAUUUGAGACUGCAUAGCUAGGGUGCGGAAGAGGGAAGCGGAAUUUCCGGUGUAGCGGUGAAAUGCGUAGAUAUCGGAAGGAACACCAGUGGCGAAAGCGGCUUCCUGGUCUCAUACUGACACUGAGGUGCGAAAGCGUGGGGAGCAAACAGG